AUUGAACGCUGGCGGCAGGCCUAACACAUGCAAGUCGCAAGAGUGGAGGACGGGUGGGUAAUGUCUGGGAAACUGCCUGAUGGAGGGGGAUAAAUACUGGAAACGGUAGCUAAUACCGCAUACCAUCGGAUGUGCCAAGAUGGGAUUAGCUAGUAGGUGGGGUAACGGCUCACCUAGGCGACGAUCCCUAGCUGGUCUGAGAGGAUGACCAGCCACACUGGAACUGAGACACGGGCCAGACUCCGACGGGAUGCAGCAGUGGGGAAUAUUGCACAAUGGGCGCAAGCCUGAUGCAGCCAUGCCGCGUGUAUGAAGAAGGCCUUCGGGUUGUAAAGUACUUUCAGCGGUGAGGCGUUACCCGCAGAAGAAGCACCGGCUAACUCCGUGCCAGCAGCCGCGGUAAUUC
rnacentral:rRNA from 1 species